CCAUCUUUCUGUCAAAGCUCAGGAGAAAAUGUCAUUUACCAGGCAUUAAAAAGAUCCUAUUGGCAAAACUGGACAACAAAAAAAAGUCAGAGCUCAAAACUUUAUUUCCAUGCAGUGAUAAUAGUAUCCAUGACAAUUUCAAAUCUCUGGAUGUAUAGUUGUACACUAUCUGACAGUGGAUUGGUGAUGGCCAAAGUGGAUUGGUGAAGGUCAGUCAUCCUUUUGAACCUAAGAAUCAACAACUCAUCUUUUGAGUCCUCAGAAAUCUCCUUAAAUGAGACAUAUGAUGUGUUCAUAAACUUAUGUGCUGAAGACCCGACUUUGCUAUUGAAGACUCCAAGUUUGGUGUUUAGAUCAGGCAGAGCCAACCAUAGU